rnacentral:rRNA from 1 species
CAAUAGCGUAUAUUUAAGUUGUUGCAGUUAAAAAGCUCGUAGUUGGAUUUCGGUUAAGAGCGACCGGUCCGCCGUUUGGUGUGCACUGGUUGGUUUUAACUUCCUGUAGAGGACGUGCUCUGGGUUUAACGACCUGGACUCGGAGUCUACGUGGUUACUUUGAAAAAAUUAGAGUGUUCAAAGCGGGCUUACGCUUGAAUAUUUCAGCAUGGAAUAACACUAUAGGACUCCUGUCCUAUUUCGUUGGUCUCGGGACGGGAGUAAUGAUUAAGAGGAACAGUUGGGGGCAUUCGUAUUUCAUUGUCAGAGGUGAAAUUCUUGGAUCUAUGAAAGACGAACUUCUGCGAAAGCAUUUGCCAAGGAUGUUUUCAUUAA